CGCUAUCACUCCUACGGGGAGCAGCAGUAGGGAAUCUUCCACAAUGGGCGCAAGCCUGAUGGAGCAACACCGCGUGAGUGAAGAAGGGUUUCGGCUCGUAAAGCUCUGUUGUUAAAGAAGAACACGUAUGAGAGUAACUGUUCAUACGUUGACGGUAUUUAACCAGAAAGUCACGGCUAACUACGUGCCAGCAGCCGCGGUAAUACGUAGGUGGCAAGCGUUAUCCGGAUUUAUUGGGCGUAAAGAGAGUGCAGGCGGUUUUCUAAGCCUGAUGUGAAAGCCUUCGGCUUAACCGGAGAAGUGCAUCGGAAACUGGAUAACUUGAGUGCAGAAGAGGGUAGUGGAACUCCAUGUGUAGCGGUGGAAUGCGUAGAUAUAUGGAAGAACACCAGUGGCGAAGGCGGCUACCUGGUCUGCAACUGACGCUGAGACUCGAAAGCAUGGGUAGCGAACAGGAUUAGAUACCCUGGUAG
rnacentral:rRNA from 1 species